rnacentral:rRNA from 1 species
GCAAGCAAGGGGGACCACCCUCUAAGCCUAAGUAUUGCUCAAUGACCGAUAGUGAACAAGUACCGUGAGGGAAAGGUGAAAAGAACCCUAGGAAAGGGAGUGCAAUAGAAAUCCUGAAAUCCGAUGCAGACCAUCAGUCGGAGGUGAAAGCUACACUGCUUUCACUGACGGCGUACCUUUUGCAUAAUGGGUCAGCGAGUAAAUGAGCGCAGCAAGCUUAAGCCGUGUUUAGGUGUAGGCGUAACGAAAUUGUGUUGAAGUUGUGCUCAUUUGACCCGAAUGCGAUUGAUCUAGGCAUGGGCAGGUUGAAGAGCGCUCUAACGAGACUUGGAGGACCGAACCCACGUAUGUGGCAAAAUACGGGGACGACCUGUGCCUAGGGGUGAAAGGCUAAUCAAAAUCGCAGCGCUGGUUUUCCGCGAAACAUAUUUAGGUAUGGCGUAGAAACUGAAUGGUCCGAGGUAGAGCACUCAUUGGAUUAGGGUGGCCCAAAGCCUGACCGCAUCCACGGAAACUCCAAAUGCGGUCCAUUUCAAUUCUACAGACAGACUUUGGGUGCUAAGAUCCAAAGUCGAGAGGGAAACAGCCCAGAUCGUACGCUAAGGUCCUUAAGCAAUCACUUAGUGGAAAAGGAAGUGAUCGAGCAAUGACAACCAGCAGGUGGGCUUGGAAGCAGCCAUCCUUUGAAGAAAGCGUAAUAGCUCACUGGUCUAGCUUGAUUGCACCACAAAUGUAGCGGGGCUCAAGUGAUUCACCGAAGCGACGAGAUGUGCUUUGUGCACAUCAGUAGCGGAACGUUCUGUAAUUCACCGAAGGCUCGCUGAAAGGAGGGCUGGAGAUAUCAGAAGUGAGAAUGCUGACAUGAGUAACGAUCAAUCAUGUGAAACACAUGAUCGCCGAAUGUUCAAGGGUUUCUGCGUUCAGUCUAUCUACGCAGAGUAAAUCGGUCCCUAAGUGUACUCCGAAAGGAUGCAAUGCGAUGGGAGACACGCAAGUGACGAAGUGGCUUUACCGUACCCCAAACCGACACAGGUGAACUGGUAGAGUAUACUAAGGCGCUUGAGAGAACCACGUUGAAGGAACUCGGCAAAUUGACUCCGUAACUUCGGAAGAAGGAGUGCUCUCUAACAAGAGAGCGGCACAAACCAGAGGGUGGCGCCUGUUUACUAAAAACACGGGACUCUGCUAAGUGGUAACACGAUGUAUAGAGUCUGACACCUGCCCGGUGCUGGAAGGUGAAAAGGAGAAGUGAGAAAGCUUUGAAUCGAAGCCCCAGUAAACGGCGGCCGUAACUCUAACGGUCCUAAGGUAGCGAAAUUCCUUGUCGCAUAAGUAGCGACCUGCACGAAUGGUGUAACGAUCGCCCUACUGUCUCCAACGUGGACUCAGUGAAAUUGAAUUCUCCGUGAAGAUGCGGAGUACCAGCGGCUAGACGGUAAGACCCUAUGCACCUUUACUAUAACUUAGCAUUGACAGCCUUGAUUGAUUGUGUAGGAUAGGUGGGAGGUUCGCCGAGCUUGAAAUACCACCCUUUCGUCAUAGGAUGUCUAACUACCUGAACAUGGUAGGACCCUGCUUGGUGGGUAGUUUAUCUGGGGCGGAUACCUCCCAAACAGUAACGGAGGUGCGCGAAGGUAGGCUCAAGUUGGUUUCGACCAAUUCCCGAAUGCAAUGGUAAAAGCCUGCCUGACUGUGAGACAAACAAGUCGAACAGAGACGAAAGUCGGCCAUAGUGAUCCGGGAGUCCCGUGUGGAAGGGCUCUCGCUCAACGAAUCAAAGGUACGCUAGGGAUAACAGGCUGAUGAUUCCCAAGAGCUCAUAUCGACGGAAUCGUUUGGCACCUCGAUGUCGACUCAUCACAUCCUAGAGCUGAAGAAGGUUCUAAGGGUUCGGUUGUUCGCCGAUGAAAGUGGUACGUGAGUUGGGUUUAGAACGU